UCAUAUAUGGGUUUUCUUCAGCCUCUGCCACCCCUGAGACAGCAAGACCAGCCCUCCCUCUUCCUUGCCAUCUUCAGCCUACUCAACGUGAAUACGAUGAGGAUGAAGACCUUUAUGAUGAUGCACUUCCACUUAAUGAACAGAUCAAACCAUUGA